AGAUCUAUCUCUGUACAGCCUAUUUGUUAUUUUGAAAUGACACCAAGAUACUAGGGUAUAUUUGUCAGAUUGUCACCUGGCUGGUUAUAAUAAGUUACACUUACUCGAUAAAAGAUGGUGCCAUAAAUCAAAGAUUCCGAUAUUUCACAGGUAAAUAUGUAAGAAAAUCCAAACGCAUUACUUAGAUUUACGUCGACAUGAUAAGAGCUAUAUUAAAAAUCAAUAAAAUAGUAAUUCGUGUUAAAAAAAAUUGAGAUCAACUAACAAUCAUAGGCUCAUAAAAGAACAAAAAUAAAGUAUACAAUAUAAUAGGUGGGAAAAAGGUUUUUGUAUUUUC
rnacentral:misc_RNA from 1 species